rnacentral:rRNA from 1 species
GAUAAACGCUGGCGGCGUGCUUAACACAUGCAAGUCGAACGAAGUUUUUCCUUCGGGAGACACUUAGUGGCGGACGGGUGAGUAACGCGUGGGUAACCUGCCCUGUACAGGGGGACAACAGCUGGAAACGGCUGCUAAUACCGCAUAAGCCCUUAGCACUGCAUGGUGCAUAGGGAAACGGAGCAAUCCGGUACAGGAUGGACCCGCGUCUGAUUAGCCAGUUGGCAGGGUAACGGCCUACCAAAGCGACGAUCAGUAGCCGAUCUGAGAGGAUGUACGGCCACAUUGGGACUGAGACACGGCCCAGACUCCUACGGGAGGCAGCAGUGGGGAAUAUUGCACAAUGGAGGAAACUCUGAUGCAGCGACGCCGCGUGAGUGAAGAAGUAUUUCGGUAUGUAAAGCUCUAUCAGCAGGGAAGAAAAUGACGGUACCUGACGAAGAAGCACCGGCUAAAUACGUG